AAUUUUGGACAAUGGGGGAAACCCUGAUCCAGCCAUCCCGCGUGUAUGAUGAAGGCCNNNGGGUUNUCAAGCACUUUUGGCAGNAACNAAAUCGCAUAUGAUAAUACCCUGUGUGGAUGACGGUACCUUCGGAAUUAGCACCGGCUAACUACGUGCCAGCAGCCGCGGUAAUACGUAGGGUGCAAGCGUUAAUCGGAAUUACGGGGCGUAAAGCGUGGAGAAGCGGUUAGGAAAGAAAGAUGAGAAAGCCCAGGGCUCAACCUUGGAAAUGCAUUUGUAACUGCCGAGCUAGAGUAUGUAAGAGGGGAGUAGAAUUCCACGUGUAGCAGUGAAAUGCGUAGAUAUGUGGAGGAAUACCGAUGGCGAAGGCAGCCCCCUGGGAUAAUACUGACGCUCAGACACGAAAGCGUGGGGAGCAAACA
rnacentral:rRNA from 1 species